rfam:Candidate division WS6 bacterium GW2011_GWC1_33_20 TR34_C0006, whole genome shotgun sequence.
GCCGAGGUGGUGAAAUUGGCAGACACGCUACCUUGAGGUGGUAGUGGGAGUUAAAUCCCUUGCAGGUUCAAGUCCUGUCCUCGGCA